UUAAUUUUAAAAAGUUACUGUAAGAGCCCAUUUUUGCCCGAGCCCAUACCAACAAAACAAACCCAAAUGAUAAAAAAAAGCAGUCCAUUUACAGAAAAUUUAAACCCAAAAUUACAAUGGCCCAAAAAGGCCCAAUAAGAAUUAAAACCCUAAAGCCCGAAUGGCCCAAAACCUAAACUAGUUUUCAGCCUUCAACAGCUUUCAGCUUCAGCCGCCGUUUUCCCACGGCCUCAUGUGCCCUACGAGCCACGCCUCCGCACGCCACGUCCACACCGCCACAUGUUGCGCGUACGUCGUACCUGCAAGAACGGCAAGCAAACAAAAAGAGCAGAAAUCGACAACAAAAAAAAGGAUUGAUUUCUUUUGAUUUAUUUUAUUUUCUUUUCUUUUUUUCAUUUUCGGCUAUAAAGGCCAAUUUAAGAAUCUGUAAACAGGGAUACUGUAUCAAAAAAUGAAAUCAAUACAAAAAUACAAAAAAAAUAAAAAAAAAAACAUACCGUUUUAGGUGAUUCCCCAAAUCCAUUUUUAUUUUCAAUUUUCUUUGAUUUUUUUUUUGGUAAAAAAAUAAAUAAAUAAAAAGGAGAGGGAAAGGGGACCUACCGGGAAUCUGUCGUCUUCUCGUCGGCUCAAAUCGCCGUUCGUGGCGGAGCCAUGGCGAAGGAGCGGCGGAUUCAGGCAGGGAGACGAGGGGUCGAAACCCCAAUGGAGGCAGAAGCAGCAAUUUUUUUUUAUGUACGGGCUGCAGUUGUUUAUUUUUCAGGUAAACUUUUGUUUAAAUAACAUUACAAUAAGAUGCCGUUUUGAGCUAGGGUUCCUAGUGUCAAAACGACGCCGUUUAGUGGCCAUGACCCGCGCAGUGACCUGACCCGGGG
rnacentral:lncRNA from 1 species